UUUGUUUAAGUACGUAGGCAUAAUCCCAAUAGAGUUUAUGAAUCGUGCAAUCCACCUACGGACGGUAUGUGGUAUCUUUAGAAGAUUUUAAUU
rfam:Drosophila melanogaster chromosome 2R.